rnacentral:rRNA from 1 species
UACGUAGGGGGCAAGCGUUGUCCGGAUUUAUUGGGCGUAAAGAGCGUGUAGGCGGCCUGGUAGGUCAGCUGUGAAAACUCGAGGCUCAACCUCGAGACGUCGGUUGAAACCACCUGGCUAGAGUCCGGAAGAGGAGAGUGGAAUUCCCGGUGUAGCGGUGAAGUGCGCAGAUAUCGGGAAGAACACCCGUGGCGAAGGCGGCUCUCUGGGACGGUACUGACGCUGAGACGCGAAAGCGUGGGGAGCGAACAGG